CCCUCUAAGUUGGCUAUUUUCACUUUUCAUAAUAUACAUCCCUUGCACAGAGAGAGACACACUAGGACUAAGCUCUGAUAAUCUCAUAGCUAUGUUCAUUCCAGUUUUUGUGUGAUGGCUCUGGGAGGAGUAUGGCAACUUCAGAAGCUCAUUGUUAGCUAUUGCAAUUGGGGCGGAAGCAGUAGAGGUAUAAGGGAUUUUAUGGAGCCGGAAUUGCCUGUAUUUAAGGAGAAGAAUCCUCAAUUAGAGAUUGUUACUGGACUCAUUCAUAGUCAGCAUCCACAUUGAAGGCCUUUUAUAGUAAAAUUUCUUCUUUCUUAAUUAGUUAACAAAAGUUGGAUUGUACAACUCACUAUGGGGAUCUUAUCUUAGCUAAUUACUAGAAUUUGAAUGAGUGAUUGUGAUGGGAAUUACAGAGAACAAAAAUGAGCGAGUUAUAUGCGUGAAGGACAUGGAUCCAGAAUAUGUAUUCACCACGCAAUGAGGCUAAGGAAUGCGUCAGGAAGAAAGGUGAUCAAACUGAGGACAAGGCACGUAACCAAGCGCCCUAGUGUGCAAGGGUUAUUUUGUAUCUAUUAUCUUAAGUUAUUGCGAAGGAGGAGAUAUG